rnacentral:rRNA from 1 species
AUUGAACGCUGGCGGCAGGCUUAACACAUGCAAGUCGAACGAGUGGCGGACGGGUGAGUAAUGUCUGGGAAACUGCCUGAUGGAGGGGGAGAACUACUGGAAACGGUAGCUAAUACCGCAUACCAUCAGAUGUGCUCAGAUGGGAUUGGCUUGUUGGUGGGGUAACGGCUCACUAAGGCGACGAACCCUAGCUGGUCUGAGAGGAUGACUAGCCACACUGGAAGUGAGACACGGUCCAGACUCCUACGGGAGGCGGCAGUAGGGAAUAGUGCACAAUGGGCGCAAGACUGUUGAAGCCAUGCCGCGUGUAUGAAGAAGGCCUUCGGUUUGUAAAGUACUUUCAGCGGGGAGGCGUUACCCGCAGAAGAAGCACCGGCUAAAUCCGUGCCAGCAGCCGCGGUAAUUC